AGCAGUGUAGCAUAGUGGUAAGGAGCUGGGCUUGUAAUCAAAAGGUUGCUGGUUCGAUUCCCCACUGGGG